GACGUAGGGCGCGAGCGUUUGUCCGGAUUUAUUGGGCGUAAAGAGCUCGUAGGCGGCUCGUCGCGUCGACCGUGAAAACCCAGCAGCUUAACUGCUGGCUUGCGGUUGAUACGGGCGGGCUAGAGUUCGGUAGGGGAGACUGGAAUUCUGGUGUAGCGGUGAAAUGCGCAGAUAUCAGGAGGAACACCGGUGGCGAAGGCGGUCUCUGGGCCGAUACUGACGCUGAGGAGCGAAAGCGUGGGGAGCGAACAGG
rnacentral:rRNA from 1 species